AUGCAGCCGAGCGGUAGAGAUUCUUCGGAAUCUUGAGAGCGGCGCACGGGUGCGGAACACGUGUGCAACCUGCCUUUAUCAGGGGAAUAGCCUUUCGAAAGGAAGAUUAAUGCCCCAUAAUAUAUUGACUGGCAUCAGUUGAUAUUGAAAACUCCGGUGGAUAAAGAUGGGCACGCGCAGGAUUAGAUAGUUGGUAGGGUAACGGCCUACCAAGUCAACGAUCCUUAGGGGGCCUGAGAGGGUGAUCCCCCACACUGGUACUGAGACACGGACCAGACUCCUACGGGAGGCAGCAGUGAGGAAUAUUGGACAAUGGGUGAGAGCCUGAUCCAGCCAUCCCGCGUGAAGGACGACGGCCCUAUGGGUUGUAAACUUCUUUUGUAUAGGGAUAAACCUUUCCACGUGUGGAAAGCUGAAGGUACUAUACGAAUAAGCACCGGCUAACUCCGUGCCAGCAGCCGCGGUAAUACGGAGGGUGCAAGCGUUAUCCGGAUUUAUUGGGUUUAAAGGGUCCGUAGGCGGACUCGUAAGUCAGUGGUGAAAUCUCACAGCUUAACUGUGAAACUGCCAUUGAUACUGCGGGUCUUGAGUGUUGUUGAAGUAGCUGGAAUAAGUAGUGUAGCGGUGAAAUGCAUAGAUAUUACUUAGAACACCAAUUGCGAAGGCAGGUUACUAAGCAACAACUGACGCUGAUGGACGAAAGCGUGGGGAGCGAACAGGAUUAGAUACCCUGGUAGUCCACGCCGUAAACGAUGCUAACUCGUUUUUGGGCCUUCGGGUUCAGAGACUAAGCGAAAGUGAUAAGUUAGCCACCUGGGGAGUACGUUCGCAAGAAUGAAACUCAAAGGAAUUGACGGGGGCCCGCACAAGCGGUGGAUUAUGUGGUUUAAUUCGAUGAUACGCGAGGAACCUUACCAAGGCUUAAAUGGGAAUUGACAGGUUUAGAAAUAGACUUUUCUUCGGACAAUUUUCAAGGUGCUGCAUGGUUGUCGUCAGCUCGUGCCGUGAGGUGUUAGGUUAAGUCCUGCAACGAGCGCAACCCCUGUCACUAGUUGCCAUCAUUCAGUUGGGGACUCUAGUGAGACUGCCUACGCAAGUAGAGAGGAAGGUGGGGAUGACGUCAAAUCAUCACGGCCCUUACGCCUUGGGCCMCMACGUAAUACNAUGGCCAGUACAGAGGGCAGCUACCAGCGAU
rnacentral:rRNA from 1 species